rnacentral:lncRNA from 10 species
GACUUCGGAAGAAGAUCCUGAGCUUGUCGGGGUCUUGGCACAGGGUCCUGAAAGCCGUAUAUGGAUCAAGACAUGGAAGAGAAGAUACACACCUAUGAAUGGGACUGUUGAGUCAUAUAGUAAGUAUAUAUUUGAUUUUAUAAGGAAAUGCCAAACUCUCUUCCAAAGUGGCUGUGCCAUUUUGCAUUCCUGCCAGCAAUGUAUGAGAGUUCCAGUUGCUCCAUAUCCUUCCCAGUACUUGGCACUCUCAUAUUUUGGUUGGAGGAGCAUUCUAAUAGGUGUGUAAUUCCUCACUGUGGUUUUGAUAUUUGCAUUUUCCUAUUGACUGAUGUUGAGCACGUUUUCAUGUGCUUAUUUGGUAUCCAGUUAUCUUCUUUGGUAUAUAUUUGCUUUUCUAUCAGGUUUUGUUUCAUGUAUUUUCAGACUGUUAUUAGGUAUAUACACAUUUAGAAUUGUUAUGUCUUCUCAGUGAAUUGGCCCUAUUAUCAUUAUACCAUGUCUCUUUAUCUCUGUGAAUUUCCUGUUUUGAAGUUGAAUUUUUCUGAUACUAGUGUAGCCACUCCAGCUGUUUAUUUAUUUAUAUAUUUGUUUGUUUGUUCAUACAGGGUCUUACUCUGUCACUCAGGCUGGAGUGCAGUAUCAUAAUCAUAGCUCACUGUAACCUUGAACUCCUGAGCUCAAGCAAUCCUUCCACCUCAGUAACCUCCUGAGUAUCUGGAACUACUGGCAUAUGCCACUAUGCCUGGCUAAUUUUUUUUUUUUUUUUAUGUAAAGAUAGGGUCUCACUAUGUUUCCCAGCCUGUUCUCAACCUUUUGGCCUCAAGCAAUCCCCAUGUUUUGGCCUCCCAAAGCUGGAAUUAUAGGAAAGAGGCACUACAUCCGGCCUCAACUUUUUAAAAUUAAUAGUUGCAUUGCAUG